rnacentral:rRNA from 1 species
AUUGAACGCUGGCGGCAGGCUUAACACAUGCAAGUCGAGCGGGGGAAGGUAGCUUGCUACCGGACCUAGCGGCGGACGGGUGAGUAAUGUCUGGGAAACUGCCCGAUGGAGGGGGAUAACUACUGGAAACGGUAGCUAAUACCGCAUAACGUCGCAAGACCAAAGUGGGGGACCUUCGGGCCUCACACCAUCGGAUGUGCCCAGAUGGGAUUAGCUAGUAGGUGGGGUAAUGGCUCACCUAGGCGAUGAUCCCUAGCUGGUCUGAGAGGAUGACCAGCCACACUGGAACUGAGACACGGUCCAGACUCCUACGGGAGGCAGCAGUGGGGAAUAUUGCACAAUGGGCGCAAGCCUGAUGCAGCCAUGCCGCGUGUAUGAAGAAGGCCUUCGGGUUGUAAAGUACUUUCAGCGGGGAGGAAGGCGGUGAAGUUAAUAGCUUCACCGAUUGACGUUACCCGCAGAAGAAGCACCGGCUAACUCCGUGCCAGCCGCCGCAGUAA